rnacentral:rRNA from 1 species
AGAGUUUGAUCCUGGCUCAGAUUGAACGCUGGCGGCAUGCCUUACACAUGCAAGUCGAACGGUAACAGGCCGCAAGGUGCUGACGAGUGGCGAACGGGUGAGUAAUGCAUCGGAACGUGCCCAGUAGUGGGGGAUAGCCCGGCGAAAGCCGGAUUAAUACCGCAUACGACCUACGGGUGAAAGCGGGGGACCGAAGGGCCUCGCGCUAUUGGAGCGGCCGAUGUCAGAUUAGGUAGUUGGUGGGGUAAAGGCCUACCAAGCCUACGAUCUGUAGCUGGUCUGAGAGGACGACCAGCCACACUGGGACUGAGACACGGCCCAGACUCCUACGGGAGGCAGCAGUGGGGAAUUUUGGACAAUGGGCGCAAGCCUGAUCCAGCCAUGCCGCGUGCGGGAAGAAGGCCUUCGGGUUGUAAACCGCUUUUGUCAGGGAAGAAAUCUUCUGGGUUAAUACCUCGGGAGGAUGACGGUACCUGAAGAAUAAGCACCGGCUAACUACGUGCCAGCAGCCGCGGUAAU